rnacentral:rRNA from 1 species
GACGAACGCUGGCGGCGUGCCUAAUACAUGCAAGUUGAGCGCUGAAGGUUGGUACUUGUACCGACUGGAUGAGCAGCGAACGGGUGAGUAACGCGUGGGGAAUCUGCCUUUGAGCGGGGGACAACAUUUGGAAACGAAUGCUAAUACCGCAUAAAAACUUUAAACACAAGUUUUAAGUUUGAAAGAUGCAAUUGCAUCACUCAAAGAUGAUCCCGCGUUGUAUUAGCUAGUUGGUGAGGUAAAGGCUCACCAAGGCGAUGAUAAAUAGCCGACCUGGGAGGGUGCACGGCCACAUUGGGACUGGGACACGGCCCAAACUCCUACGGGAGGCAGCAGUAGGGAAUCUUCGGGAAUGGACGAAAGUCUGACCGAGCAACGCCGCGUGAGUGAAGAAGGUUUUCGGAUCGUAAAACUCUGUUGGUAGAGAAGAACGUUGGUGAGAGUGGAAAGCUCAUCAAGUGACGGUAACUACCCAGAAAGGGACGGCUAACUACGUGCCAGCAGCCGCCGUAA